GUGUGUGUGUGUGUGUGUGUGUGUGGAGAGAGAGAGAGAGAGAGAGAGAGUGAGUGAGUUUGUUUCUGUUUGGAUUUUUGUUCUCACAUGUAACAUUAAGCUGGCCUCUGGGCCUUUUCCUCUCUACCUCCCCUGUGACCUUUCCUAGCCUCAGAGUUGUUAAUGCCCUUGGCCCUGGCCUUUUUUUGUGUCAGACCAGAACCCUGGGGUCAGGCUCCCCCCUCCAGCUGUCUAGCACAUCUGACAGGCUUCUUUUUGAGAUGGCCUCAGGUUUUCUCAGCAGAGAGCUGCCUUUAGUCCAACUGUUUAUGUUCAUCAUCCUGACUAGAAGCAUCCUACGAUUGUGUGAAGAAACGGCAUCUGUGAUGCCAUGUUCAGAGUCAUGGGGUGUGGCCUCCCUGUCCCUAGCCCCAGGCCAAGAGGAAAGGGCCAAAGGCUCUUGCUGGAGGGACAGUAGAAUGCGUCUGGAGAACUGGUCCCAGAGGAGCAAAGGCUUAUUCUGGGGCCAGUAUUUAUUUUGCAACAUCUUCAGCUAUGGGGACAAUGGCCUUCUCUGCUUUUUUGAUGAUGGCUCUCUCCUCAAGGUACAAGUUGGCAAGGUCAUCUGUCCUUCCACCUCCUUGACAUGUUGGCCCAUUUCCAGGACAGCCUUCCAGUGAAUGGAGCAGACUAUUCCACAGCUGUGGGAUAGAGUGUCUUGGAGCCCUGGAAUGACUUCAUGCCUCCUUUUGCCUAGCCUGAGUGGCCCUGAGGACUGUCACAGAACAGUGCCCCAUGUCCUGCUCCUGGGCCCGAGCAUGGGGAAGAGAUGGUUGCAGGCAAGAGCACUUUACAGCAUUCCCCAUUGCUGGGAAGGUUGUUUCUCCUACAGUGUGUGAAUACUUACCUGUUUUAUAAAUGUCUGAUCCUGUCUGAGUAAAA
rnacentral:lncRNA from 1 species